GCCAAAUCAUGUAAAUUUAUUCAAAAUUUGUGCUCCAAAAUAACAACACUACAAACCCAGCAAAAAAAAUAAACAAAUUUCAAAGUGUAUCAAAAAUUAAAAGUGAAAAAAUUAAGGAAAACAAACCAAAAUCUACAUAAGUAUUAAAAUUUACCUUCACCAUGGAAAUUGGCGUUGCUUUGAACAACGAUCUUGAGAUUAGGAUCUCGGAGGCCUUUUGCGUCUUUGAUACUCAUGGUGAUAAAUACAUAGACACUCGCAAUGUGGGAAAUGUUCUCAGAUUUAUGGGCUGUGUGCCGACCGAGAAGGAAAUCAAUGAUAUAAUUGCCGCCACUGAGUCGAUAGAGUACCCCGGGGAAUUGCAGCUACCAAAAUUUAUGGCUCAUGUCUCCCAACUGCUUAUGAAUAACCAUAUGGAGCCAGCGUCAGCAGAAAAGCUGUAUGCGGCUUUUCAGGUGCUUGACCCAGAAAACAAAAAAUAUCUUACCAAAGAGUAUUUCGAAAAGUUAAUGUCAGAGGAGGGAGAGCCUUUCUCUGAAGAAGAAAUGGCGGACAUGUGGCCGGUGGCCAUUGAUCCGAUUACUGGAAACAUUCCCUACACGUUCUAUAUUAACCAACUGAAGCAUAAGGGGACAAUCUAUGAAGUGGCUGCAGCUGUUAAGGAACAGGCCGAACAAGCUCAGGCCGAACAGGGGCGCAAGAAAUAAUGUCAGCAAAGAAACAUUAACAUGGUGGCGCCCUUUGGCGCAGUUGUGGCCCACUACAAGAAUCUGCGCUACUUUUCCGACUGGGCCGGUAAGAACCAUGGCAAGAUCGUCCCCAUGGGAAGUGAUUUCUUGGCACUUGGAACCCUGGAACUUCCCCAUUCUGAUGAUGGUCUGAAACUGGGAUCCACACUGGCUACCGGCUAUCAGCCGAGUAGUCAAUGUUUCUGGUUUCGGUGGAGCCGGCGCUGUACUGGCCAAUCACGUAGAUGUCGACAAGGUAGCCUUCACCGGAUCCACGGUGAUUACAUUCGGUUAAUUUCUGUUUAGGUGUAAAACUCUUUUGAAAUACAAUAUUUGUGAAGAAAAUCUUGAA
rnacentral:misc_RNA from 1 species